rnacentral:rRNA from 1 species
AGAUUGAACGCUGGCGGCAUGCCUAACACAUGCAAGUCGAACGGGAGUAGCAAUACUCUAGUGGCGGACGGGUGAGGAAUACGUAGGAAUUUGCCCUUAAGUGGGGGAUAACCCGGGGAAACCCGGAUUAAUGCCGCAUGACCUCGAAAGAGCAAAGUGGGGGAUCGCAAGACCUCACGCUUUUGGAGAAGCCUACGUCGGAUUAGCUAGUUGGUGAGGUAAUGGCUCACCAAGGCGACGAUCCGUAACUGGUCUGAGAGGAUGAUCAGUCACACCGGAACUGAGACACGGUCCGGACUCCUACGGGAGCAGCAGUGGGGAAUAUUGGACAAUGGGCGCAAGCCUGAUCCAGCCAUGCCGCGUGUGUGAAGAAGGUCUUCGGAUUGUAAAGCUACUUUAAGUGGAGGAAGGUUGUAACUUAAUACGUUGACUAAUUUGACGUUACGACAGAAUAAGCACCGCUAACUUCGU